rnacentral:rRNA from 1 species
CCUACGGGUGGCAGCAGUAGGGAAUAUUGCUCAAUGGGGGAAACCCUGAAGCAGCAACGCCGCGUGGAGGAUGAAGGUUUUCGGAUUGUAAACUCCUUUUGUUAGAGAAGAUAAUGACGGUAUCUAACGAAUAAGCACCGGCUAACUCCGUGCCAGCAGCCGCGGUAAUACGGAGGGUGCAAGCGUUACUCGGAAUCACUGGGCGUAAAGGGCGCGUAGGCGGGAUAGCAAGUCAGAUGUGAAAUCCUAUGGCUUAACCAUAGAACUGCGUUUGAAACUGUUAUUCUAGAGUAUGGGAGAGGUAGGUGGAAUUCGUGGUGUAGGGGUAAAAUCCGUAGAGAUCAAGAGGAAUACUCAUUGCGAAGGCGACCUGCUAGAACAUAACUGACGCUGAUGCGCGAAAGCGUGGGGAGCAAACAGGAUUAGAUACCCGAGUAGUC